rnacentral:tRNA from 1 species
CGGCAUGUAGCGCAGCCUGGUAGCGCACCGUCAUGGGGUGUCGGGGGUCGGGGGUCGGAGGUUCAAAUCCUCUCAUGCCGACCA